AGAGUUUGAUCCUGGCUCAGGAUGAACGCUAGCGGCAGGCUUAACACAUGCAAGUCGAGGGGUAUAGUUCUCGGAACUAGAGACCGGCGCACGGGUGCGUAACGCGUAUGCAAUCUACCUUUUACAGAGGGAUAGCCCAGAGAAAUUUGGAUUAAUACCUCAUAGUAUUAUGAAUCGGCAUCGGUUUAUAAUUAAAGUCACAACGGUAAAAGAUGAUCAUGCGUCCCAUUAGCUUGUUGGUAAGGUAACGGCUUACCAAGGCAACGAUGGGUAGGGGUCCUGAGAGGGAGAUCCCCCACACUGGUACUGAGACACGGACCAGACUCCUACGGGAGGCAGCAGUGAGGAAUAUUGGUCAAUGGGCGCAAGCCUGAACCAGCCAUGCCGCGUGCAGGAUGAAGCAUCUAUGGUGUGUAACUGCUUUUGUACGAGAAGAAACACUCCUACGUGUAGGAGCUUGACGGUAUCGUAAGAAUAAGGACCGGCUAACUCCGUGCCAGCAGCCGCGGUAAUACGGAGGGUCCAAGCGUUAUCCGGAAUCAUUGGGUUUAAAGGGUCCGUAGGCGGUUUUGUAAGUCAGUGGUGAAAGCCCAUCGCUCAACGGUGGAACGGCCAUUGAUACUGCAAGACUUGAAUUAUUAGGAAGUAACUAGAAUAUGUAGUGUAGCGGUGAAAUGCUUAGAGAUUACAUGGAAUACCAAUUGCGAAGGCAGGUUACUACUAAUGGAUUGACGCUGAUGGACGAAAGCGUGGGUAGCGAACAGGAUUAGAUACCCUGGUAGUCCACGCCGUAAACGAUGGAUACUAGCUGUUCGGAGCAAUCUGAGUGGCUAAGCGAAAGUGAUAAGUAUCCCACCUGGGGAGUACGUUCGCAAGAAUGAAACUCAAAGGAAUUGACGGGGGCCCGCACAAGCGGUGGAGCAUGUGGUUUAAUUCGAUCAUACGCGAGGAACCUUACCAAGGCUUAAAUGUAGAUUGACCGGUUUGGAAACAGACUUUUCGCAAGACAAUUUACAAGGUGCUGCAUGGUUGUCGUCAGCUCGUGCCGUGAGGUGUCAGGUUAAGUCCUAUAACGAGCGCAACCCCUGUUGUUAGUUGCCAGCGAGUCAUGUCGGGAACUCUAACAAGACUGCCAGUGUAAACUGUGAGGAAGGUGGGGAUGACGUCAAAUCAUCACGGCCCUUACGCCUUGGGCUACACACGUGCUACAAUGGCCGGUACAGAGAGCAGCCACUGGGCGACCAGGAGCGAAUCUAUAAAACCGGUCACAGUUCGGAUCGGAGUCUGCAACUCGACUCCGUGAAGCUGGAAUCGCUAGUAAUCGGAUAUCAGCCAUGAUCCGGUGAAUACGUUCCCGGGCCUUGUACACACCGCCCGUCAAGCCAUGGAAGCUGGGGGUGCCUGAAGUCGGUGACCGCAAGGAGCUGCCUAGGGUAAAACUGGUAACUAGGGCUAAGUCGUAACAAGGUA
rnacentral:rRNA from 1 species